GACGAACGCUGGCGGCGUGCCUAACACAUGCAAGUCGAACGGGGUAGUUCCUUCGGGACGUACUUAGUGGCGAACGGGUGAGUAACGCGUGAGAAACCUGCCUUUCAGUGGGGGACAACAGUUGGAAACGACUGCUAAUACCGCAUAAGCGCACAGUACCGCAUGGUACGGUGUGAAAAACUCCGGUGAUAUGAGAUGGUCCCGCGUUGGAUUAGCUGGUUGGUGAGGUAACGGCUCACCAAGGCGACGAUCCAUAGCCGGCCUGAGAGGGCGACCGGCCACAUUGGGACUGAGACACGGCCCAA
rnacentral:rRNA from 1 species